rnacentral:tRNA from 1 species
GGACCUGUGGCAUAGUAUGGCUAUAUUUCUUUUGUUAAAAGAUAUAGUAUAGAUAGUGCGCUGGCUUGCGGAGCCAGAAAUCAUGGGUUCAAAUCCCAUCAGGUCCA